GGCCAGGUGGUGUAACGGUAACACGUGCAAUUUAAUUAAAACUGCUCCGAGUCUUUAUUGUGAGCUCCUCGUUCAAUUCGGAGUCUGGCCC